GCUGAUUUAAAUGGCUAAAUUAGCUCCUCAACAUGUCCUGAAGUUCUCCAGAGGCCUGUUAACGAACUAAUCAUGUGAUUCAGGUGUGUUGACCCAAGGUGAGAUCUAAAACUUGCAGGGACACCGGCCCUCGUGGACUGAGAUUGCCCACCCCUGGUCUAGGGUUUCGGUGUUUGGCAGUUUUAGAAAGGCAAUACCAAUCGAGUCCCACAGUCUGAGCCAGCUGCUUUUUGACUGCUCAAUCUGAUAGGCUUGACUGAUAGCAAGUUUCCAGUGAACACACACACACACACAGGCUAACACUAGGGGUGAGCACAUGCAUGCACACACGGCGAUGUACUGUCCUGUCACACACAACUGCCCUCUGGGAAGCAAAAUGAAAAUAAGCAUUGUAAUCCACCACCACCACCUCAUCGUUCUCUCACACACAUACAGACAUGCGCAAAUACCAGAGAGCAAACAACAUCUGCAGCAUCUGGCCACUCAAAGCUUUGAUCUGGGGUCACAUCCGAGCCAUUCUGAAAAAAAAAAUGUGACAGUCAUCUGCCUUCACUCGUGUAUUGUUUGUUCUCCAAAACAAACCUCACAAGGAGCAUGGGCUUUUUGAAAAAAAAAAAACACCAAAAAAACAAGUUGUACAAAGUCAGCACUUGCUGUACAUGUUGUUGCAACUUCAUAGUGUACACGCAUGCACCUCUUUCCUCCUCACUCGCUCUGUCUUAUUUACACGGCACUCCGCUUUUUUUUCUUUGCGGUCUAAGUUUAUGUCCAUCUCCUAUUUUAAAGUUUUUAUGUGUGUGUGUGUGUGCGUGCAUACCUCUGUGCAAGAGAGUGUAUCUCUAUGUUGGGCAUCUGGUGGCUAUCAGAGUUAAUCACCCAAGCUUCCUACGACUGGCUGUGUCACACAAACUGACUUGAACACACACAAUGAGACACACACAACUUUUAUUGGAACAUGACAGCGCAUUAGACGGUGUUGGAAAGAAAUACUGACAGCCUAGCCGUGGCCAAAAUGGAGGGGGGGAUGGGACAAGAAAGGGAAGAAUGAAGGAUAGGCAGAGGGAGGGAAUGAAGGUGGAGAAGCAGGAAGAAAGGUUCCAGGAUGUGUGAAACGGGCUAUCGCAC
ensembl:lncRNA